GAUGAACGCUAGCGGGAGGCCUAACACAUGCAAGCCGAGCGGUAUUUGUUCUUCGGAACAGAGAGAGCGGCGCACGGGUGCGGAACACGUGUGCAACCUGCCUUUAUCUGGGGGAUAGCCUUUCGAAAGGAAGAUUAAUACCCCAUAAUAUAUUGAGUGGCAUCACUUGAUAUUGAAAACUCCGGUGGAUAGAGAUGGGCACGCGCAAGAUUAGAUAGUUGGUGAGGUAACGGCUCACCAAGUCAAUGAUCUUUAGGGGGCCUGAGAGGGUGAUCCCCCACACUGGGACUGAGACACGGACCAGACUCCUACGGGAGGCAGCAGUGAGGAAUAUUGGACAAUGGGUUAGCGCCUGAUCCAGCCAUCCCGCGUGAAGGACGACGGCCCUAUGGGUUGUAAACUUCUUUUGGAUAGGGAUAAACCUACUCUCGUGAGAGUAGCUGAAGGUACUAUACGAAUAAGCACCGGCUAACUCCGUG
rnacentral:rRNA from 1 species